AGUGAAUCCGAGUGGUUAAAGAGAUUGACUAGAAAUUAAUUGGGCUCUGCCCGUGUAGGUUAGAAUCCUGCUCGCUG
rfam:Angiostrongylus costaricensis strain Costa Rica genome assembly, scaffold: ACOC_scaffold0002272